AGGCGGUUUGUCGCGUCGGCCGUGAAAACUCGCAGCUUAACUGUGGGCGUGCGGUCGAUACGGGCAGACUUGAGUUCGGCAGGGGAGACUGGAAUUCCUGGUGUAGCGGUGAAAUGCGCAGAUAUCAGGAGGAACACCGGUGGCGAAGGCGGGUCUCUGGGCCGAUACUGACGCUGAGGAGCGAAAGCGUGGGGAGCGAACAGGAUUAGAUACCCUGGUAGUCCACGCCGUAAACGUUGGGCGCUAGGUGUGGGGACCGGUUCCACGGUUUCCGUGCCGUAGCUAACGCAUUAAGCGCCCCGCCUGGGGAGUACGGCCGCAAGGCUAAAACUCAAAGGAAUUGACGGGGGCCCGCACAAGCGGCGGAGCAUGUGGAUUAAUUCGAUGCAACGCGAAGAACCUUACCUGGGUUUGACAUGCACCGGACCGCCUCAGAGAUGGGGUUUUCUUCGGACUGGUGUACAGGUGGUGCAUGGCUGCCGUCAGCUCGUGUCGUGAGAUGUUGGGUUAAGUCCCGCAACGAGCGCAACCCUUACCCUAUGUUGCCAGCGCGUGAUGGCGGGGACUCGUGGGGGACUGCCGGGGUCAACUCGGAGGAAGGUGGGGAUGACGUCAAGUCAUCAUGCCCCUUAUGCCCAGGGCUUCACACAUGCUACAAUGGCUGGUACAGAGGGAUGCGAUACUGUGAGGUGGAGCGAAUCCCUUAAAGCUGGUCUCAGUUCGGAUCGGGGUCUGCAACUCGACCUCGUGAAGUCGGAGUCGCUAGUAAUCGCAGAUCAGCAGUGCUGCG
rnacentral:rRNA from 1 species